GUUUAUUUAUAGGUGAUGGUGAGCUUUUAUCAUCAAGGGAAGUAUCCUUUUCUGUGCAACUUAGACUAGGCAUUGCCAAUUUCCUGCUCUCCCCUGCUGUUGCACCAUCUCCCUCUGUUUCAGCUUCUUCAACAACUUUCUGGUCACAAAAGUUUGGUUGAUCCUUUUCUGUAAUAGAAUUGACAUUAACCUCUUGGAAUUGUUCAAAACACUCAGAUGUGGUUUCAUCUUCAAGUAGAGAAUUCAGUGUGCACUUCAAUGUAAACUCAAUGUCAUUGCCAUCUUUUCGAACUAGACUGCUAGAAUCAGCUUGCUUGUCUCCAUUGCAAACACUAGUUUCAGAAUCAGUGGAACUGUCUUUUGGACCAGUCAUAGAAUCUGAUAUUUCCACAGUAUAACUCGUAGGAUCAACCCUCUUGGUCUCAAGGUUGUCUUCUGCACUUGAUGUUGAUGUUGGGAUGUCAACAUGAGGUUGAUUGGUUUGUUGUGCAACACCAUUUCUCUCAAAUGGAUGAUCAUUUUGUGGCUGGUUUAGUGGCCCAACUUCCCUAUCCCUGUUGGCUUUGCCACUGUCACCACUAGGUUUGCCAGACAAUGAUUUUCUCCUUGUUUUCUCCUU
rnacentral:misc_RNA from 1 species